rnacentral:rRNA from 1 species
UACGUAGGGUGCAAGCGUUGUCCGGAAUUAUUGGGCGUAAAGAGCUCGUAGGCGGUCUGUCGCGUCUGCUGUGAAAACUCAGGGCUUAACCCUGAGCUUGCAGUGGGUACGGGCAGACUAGAGUGCGGUAGGGGAGACUGGAAUUCCUGGUGUAGCGGUGAAAUGCGCAGAUAUCAGGAGGAACACCGGUGGCGAAGGCGGGUCUCUGGGCCGUAACUGACGCUGGAGGAAGCGGAAAUGCAUGGGGAGCGAACAG